GUCGAACGGGCUCUUCGGAGCUAGUGGCGGACGGGUGAGUAACGCGUGAGAAUCUGCCUUCAGGUCUGGGACAACAGAAGGAAACUUCUGCUAAUCCCGGAUGAGCCCUUGGGUAAAAGAUAAAUUGCCUGGAGAUGAGCUCGCGUCUGAUUAGCUAGUUGGUAUGAUAAAAGCAUACCAAGGCGACGAUCAGUAGCUGGUCUGAGAGGAUGAGCAGCCACACUGGGACUGAGGCACGGCCCAGACUCCUACGGGAGGCAGCAGUGGGGAAUUUUCCGCAAUGGGCGAAAGCCUGACGGAGCAAGACCGCGUGGGGGAGGAAAGCUCUAGGGUUGUAAACCCCUUUUCUUUGGGAAGAAGUACUGACGGUACCAAAGGAAUCAGCCUCGGCUAACUCCGUGCCAGCAGCCGCGGUAAUACGGAGGAGGCAAGCGUUAUCCGGAAUGAUUGGGCGUAAAGCGUCCGCAGGUGGCCAUGUAAGUCUGCUGUCAAAACCCAGGGCUUAACUCUGGUCAGGCAGUGGAAACUACAAAGCUAGAGUUCGGUAGGGGCAAAGGGAAUUCCCGGUGUAGCGGUGAAAUGCGUAGAUAUCGGGAAGAACAUCGGUGGCGAAAGCGCUUUGCUAGACCAAAACUGACACUCAGGGACGAAAGCUAGGGGAGCGAAUGGGAUUAGAUACCCCAGUAGUCCUAGCCGUAAACGAUGGAUACUAGGUGUUGCCUGUAUCGACCCAGGCAG
rnacentral:rRNA from 1 species